rnacentral:lncRNA from 1 species
AAUUUUUACAAAUCACUAAUCAGUGUAUAAUAAUUUUAAAAAAACAUUGCCGUUUCAGAUAAUAAACCAUAAUGUUCUAGAGUACGUCGAUUCUUCGGAUUUAUAUAAUAUUAUAUUAAAAUUAUGUUGAGGACAACGAGCACACACUAUAUCUAUUAACAUUUUACCAUGUAUAAGCUGAAAUUCGAAUAAUUAUUAUUGAAAACAUGUAUUUUAAUCAUUAUAGAUUCAUAGGUAACAUUUAACCACCCAGGCGCCGGCGCCAGCGCCAGCGCACGUGCCAAAAUCGCAAACCAGUCGUCCUUCUAAAAUUUGGCGACUAUAUUAAAAUUAGCAUUUGAAGCGUCAUAGCUUGGUGGUUACAUCGUUUACAAAAACAAUAUGUCAAAAGAAAUACAGCAUAAUCAGAUGUACCAGAGCCAUCGAGACCAGAGGACUUUCUCCGGCGCUUAGCCAUACACACACACCAGCCAUACGACUAUAAAUUGUACUUCAAAUCAAGACGACACUUUUGGAUCGCUGACGGUCCGCAUGCAACAAUGUUGACGAUAGCAAAAUAUAGGUAAUUGUUCUUAGUAUUAAGUUUAAGAUUAAUUCCGUGAUAUUUAUUUUUGUAGGAUUUAAUAAUGCUUCUAAAGUCAUUUUGCAUUUUUCGGAAACAGCAACCUGCAGAUAUAAUUAAUAUAAUCUGUUGGCGUAGUGUCUUCAAGUUUAUUCGAAUUACAAAACAUUGUGAAGUCACGGAGACUAUACAAUGUGGAAUACCGGGAAACGUGAACUACGAUUUUUUUUUUAUCAACCAACUAAUAUUAAUAUUCAUUUUCAUUAUAAAUUAUAAUUUUAUUACUAUCUACCUAUUUAUAAUAAUUUAUAGUAU